GAAGGCCGAGUACCCUCGGGGUUCGCGCCGUUGAAUGAGCCGAUGUAGGGUUAGCUAGUAGAUGGCGUAAAGGUUCACCACGGUGACGAUACGUAGGUGGUCUGAGAGGUUGCUCAGCCACACUGGAACUGAGACAAGGUGCAGAGUCCUACGGGAGGCAGCAGUGGGGAAUCUUGGACAAUGGGCGCAAGCUUGAUCCAGCCAUGCUGCGUGGGUGAAGAAGGCCUUUGGGUUGUAAAGCCCUUUUGUUGGGAAAGAAAAGCAGUCGGUUAAUACCCGAUUGUUCUGACGGUACCCAAAGAAUAAGCACCGGCUAACUUCGUGCCAGCAGCCGCGGUAAUACGAAGGGUGCAAGCGUUACUCGGAAUUACUGGGCGUAAAGCGUGCGUAGGUGGUGAUUUAAGUCUGUUGUGAAAGCCCUGGGCUCAACCUGGGAAUUGCAGUGGAUACUGGGUCUACUAGAGUGUGGUAGAGGGUAGCGGAAUUCCCGGUGUAGCAGUGAAAUGCGUAGAGAUCGGGAGGAACAUCCGUGGCGAAGGCGGCUACCUGGACCAACACUGACACUGAGGCACGAAAGCGUGGGGAGCAAACAGGAUUAGAUACCCUGGUAGUCCACGCCCUAA
rnacentral:rRNA from 1 species